UACGGAGGGUGCGAGCGUUGUCCGGAAUCAUUGGGCGUAAAGGGCGCGUAGGUGGCUUCUUAAGCAUGCGGUGAAAGCCUGGGGCUCAACCCCGGGUCGGCCGUGCGAACUUGGGGGCUGGAGCACUGUAGAGGCAGGCGGAAUUCCGGGUGUAGCGGUGGAAUGCGUAGAGAUCCGGAAGAACACCGGUGGCGAAGGCGGCCUGCUGGGCAGUUGCUGACACUGAGGCGCGACAGCGUGGGGAGCAAACAGG
rnacentral:rRNA from 1 species